rnacentral:rRNA from 1 species
AGUGAACGCUGGCGGUAGGCCUAACACAUGCAAGUCGAACGGCAGCACAGUAAGAGCUUGCUCUUACGGGUGGCGAGUGGCGGACGGGUGAGGAAUACAUCGGAAUCUACUUUUUCGUGGGGGAUAACGUAGGGAAACUUACGCUAGUACCGCAUACGACCUACGGGUGAAAGCAGGGGAUCUUCGGACCUUGCGCGAUUGAAUGAGCCGAUGUCGGAUUAGCUAGUUGGCGGGGUAAAGGCCCACCAAGGCGACGAUCCGUAGCUGGUCUGAGAGGAUGAUCAGCCACACUGGAACUGAGACACGGUCCAGACUCCUACGGGAGGCAGCAGUGGGGAAUAUUGGACAAUGGGCGCAAGCCUGAUCCAGCCAUACCGCGUGAGUGAAGAAGGCCUUCGGGUUGUAAAGCCCUUUUGUUGGGAAAGAAAAGCAGCAGGUUAAUACCCCGCUGUUCUGACGGUACCCAAAGAAUAAGCACCGGCUAACUUCGUG